rnacentral:rRNA from 1 species
UACAGAGGUCUCAAGCGUUGUCCGGAUUCAUUGGGCGUAAAGGGCGCGUAGGCGGCCUGCUAAGUCACACGUGAAAUCCCUCGGCUCAACCGGGGAACUGCGUGUGAUACUGGCGGGCUUGAAUUCGGGAGAGGGAUGUGGAAUUCCAGGUGUAGCGGUGAAAUGCGUAGAUAUCUGGAGGAACACCGGUGGCGAAGGCGGCAUCCUGGACCGAGAUUGACGCUGAGGCGCGAAAGCUAGGGGAGCAAACGGG